rnacentral:rRNA from 1 species
AGAGUUUGAUCCUGGCUCCAGGAUGAACGCUAGCCGGCAGGCUUUAACCACAUGCAAGUCGAGGGGUAACCAGAGGUUAGCUUGCUACUUGCUGACGACGGGCGCACGGGUGAGUAACGCGUAUACAAUUUGCCUUGUACAGGAGGAUAGCCUUUAGAAAUGAAGAUUAAUACUCCAUGGUUUAUUAGAGUCACCUGAUUUUAAUAAUAAAGAUUUAUCGGUACAAGAUGAGUAUGCGUUCUAUUAGCUAGAUGGUAAGGUAACGGCUUACCAUGGCAACGAUAGAUAGGGGCCCUGAGAGGGGGAUCCCCCACACUGGUACUGAGACACGGACCAGACUCCUACGGGAGGCAGCAGUGAGGAAUAUUGGGCAAUGGAGGCAACUCUGACCCAGCCAUGCCGCGUGAAGGAAGACGGCCCUAUGGGUUGUAAACCAGU